AAAGUGUUCUCCCCUGUAUCCUCCCUAAACUUUUUUCUCAUUUUCCGAUGUUUCUUUCCGAAAGUCGUCAUCGAUAGUCAUCGACGGUCCAGUCGGUGAAAGAGAGAUAGACAAUGACAAGAAAAUUGCGCUCGAGGAGGAGCAACGCAAAGAACAGAAAACAGACCAGUUUCUCACCGUCUAUCUGUGUGUGUUUAAAUGUGCAAAUGCGUAAAGAGGGAAAAAAUAAAUUACAUUUGCAUAUCAUCGACAAGAGGCAAUGAUCAACUAGGAACACUUCUCAUAUUUUAAAAUCAAAUAUUCAAAUGUUGGAACAGAGAGAAGUAUCUAUUAUAUUAGCCCGUUAUUGCAUUUUUAAAUGUAAAAAUUCUCUCAUUUCCUUCAUUUCUUGAAUUUAACUAACUUAUUUCGAAAAAAAAACUAGAUAGUUUUGAAACAAUUAUUCCUAAAUCCCAAUAAAAGCAGCAGCUGUGAAAGGAGGUGUCGAAUGGGUGUGCGCACUGACUGGCAAAUCGUCUCUCGCCCUACGAUUCAGGUGAGCAAACUCGAGCCACGUGUG
ensembl:ncRNA ZC308.5 ncRNA